rnacentral:rRNA from 1 species
GACGUAGGGCGCGAGCGUUGUCCGGAUUUAUUGGGCGUAAAGAGCUCGUAGGCGGCUCGUUGCGUCGGCUGUGAAAACCCGCAGCUCAACUGUGGGCUUGCAGCCGAUACGGGCGGGCUGGAGUUCGGUAGGGGAGACUGGAAUUCUUGGUGUAGCGGUGAAAUGCGCAGAUAUCAGGAGGAACACCGGUGGCGAAGGCGGGUCUCUGGGCCGAUACUGACGCUGAGGAGCGAAAGCGUGGGGAGCGAACAGG